ensembl:snRNA U6 U6 spliceosomal RNA
GUGUUCACUUUGGCAGCACAUAUAUUAAAAUUGGAAGGAUACAGAAAAGUUAGCAUGGACCUUGAGGAAGGAUGGCCCACAAAUUCAUGAAGUAUUGUGUAUUUUA